rnacentral:tRNA from 1 species
GGGCCGGUGAGCUCAGUCAGUUGAGCAUGGCUCUGACAAUGCCAAGGUCAUGAGUUUAAUUCCUGUUCAGUCCC